UUGAAUUCAUUUAGCUAAGUAGGUUAGUUUUGUAGAUUGCCCAAAGAACAUUUUGUGCUGAAUAUAUGUAACGUUAACGACCACUCUGUUGUGUCAGAGUAACUUUAGACCAGGUUAAAACAACAGCUUCUCGACUUAUAAUUUGCUGUUUAUAUGACAGGGUGUUGAAAAAUUAGCAAAAGCUAGCUGGUUACCUAACGCUAGAUAGUGGAGUUGAUUGUUUUCAUUCAACUUAGUGCAGUCAUGCAGUGGUCGAUAAAAUAGAUUAUCCACACGCAAACGGAUCUCUGUACUGAUCACCACUUCAGUAAUAAUGCAGACGGUUAUCACUAGGACAGAGAGAGAACGCUCCAUACCUAAUAAAUGUCAAAUAGAUGGGAAAAUGGUUUCACAGCGAUCUAUAAAUGCCAGUGGAGAAACUAACUGUAAUUUCGAGGUCGUGAAGAGAAAGCUUGGUUUAUCUUCAGCGAGCCACAUAGUUGAAUCUUUUGAAGAUCCCGAAGUACCUGACAUUAGGCUAGGCGGACGCGGGGACCCGGUCUUGUUGGAUCAGAUGUGGAUCCGAUUCGCUUCACGGCGAGACCGGUCCGAACUCAAGUGGCGUUUCUCCCGUACGCACGCGCUUUAACGUCGUCGUCGUCAUCCGCGAGCACCGGCACCGUCUCCUCUUCCGCGACCCCACGCCCCUUAGCGUAGCAGCGCUGGCAUCAGCUGCGAAAAAGGCAAACGCUACCCGUCUGCUCUUGACCGUCGUCUUGUCCCGAGCAUUUAAAGUUGAGGAGCUGUUCGCCGUUCCUAAUGGCAAAAUGCGAAGUGUACGCGAGCGCCUGGCGUGUCCGGUUUUAAUCUCAGACGUCUGCACGCGUAAAUGCAUCUCUGCCGCCGCCAUCUUGCUCAGGGCUUCUGACUAUGGAUGGCCCAGUCAAAUAAACCAUGCCAGACUUUUGUGCCGCUUUUGGAUGUUCCAAAGAAAGAAAUGCCAGAACUAAGCAACUAGGAGUAACAUUUCACAGGUUUCCAAAAGACAAAGUUAAAAGAAAGGCAUGGACUGCAGCCCUGAAGAGAAGAGACUUUGAGCCAAAUGACUAUUCAGUCGUCUGCAGCUGCCAUUUCAAGUCAGAAGACUUUGACAGGACUGGACAGACAACUCGUUUAAAGGAAGGAGUUAUCCCGUCAGUUUUUACAUUUCCUGACCAUCUUUGCAAACUGCCCACUCCGAUCGGGAUAUCGCAUAAAGGAGCUGCAGAAUGUCCAGAUGUUCACGAUCGUCUGUCAGAGGACUUAGAAGAGUCAACCUCAGAUCAUCAGUAUGCCCUUGACCCAGUUAAAAUAAAAAAAAAGUUAACUGAGACUCAGGAGAAGGUGGAGGAUUUGCAGCAGGACUUAAGAAAUGCCAGGGAUCGGGAAAGGAGACAUAAGGAGACAGUGAAUUCCCUGCUAGAGGAUUUAAAAAAUAAAAAUGUACUAAGAGAGGAACUGCAGCAGAAGCCUGACUUCUACUCUGAAAAUGACAAUACUGAGAAGAAGUGCUUCACAUGCUCGUAUUGUGGCAGGAAGUUUGCAAGGCGUCAGACAUUGGAGCAACAUGAACGAAUCCACACAGGAGAGAAGCCUUUCCGGUGCUCGGAGUGUAGCAAAUGUUUCAGACAGAGAUCUGCUCUGCGUGUGCAUAGGAAAGGUCACACAGGGGACAAAGCUUUCGAAUGCUUUGUGUGCUUCAAGAGGUUUUAUAGAUCAGGAGACCUGAAAGCACAUUUGGGAAUUCAUACAGGCGUGCGAGAACACAACUGCUCUGUAUGCUCAAAAGGGUUUGGACGGCCCAGUGAUCUGAGGAGACACAUGCAGACUCACGAAGCUGACCCUGUGGUAGUCGAUGUAGACAAGAGCCCACACGAGUGCUCUCAGUGUGGAAAGAAGUUCACUCGACGUGCGCAGGUUGAAAUCCACCAGCGAGUGCAUACGGGAGAGAAGCCUUACUGCUGUGCUCAUUGUGGGGAGAGCUUUCGCUGGAGACAGAACUUCAAAGCUCAUCAGCGUAAUCACACGUGUGAGAAGCCGUAUCACUGCUCAGACUGUGAUAAACGCUUCACCUGCUUAUCAGCUCUGGAAAAGCAUCAAGCUUUACUUCAUUCAGGAAUUCUUCGGCAGACCACUCAGUGUAACCAGGGCACUUACAAAGAAGAUGGUCGACAUCAGUGCUGUCAGUGUGGGAAGAGUUUCAGCCAAGCGAAGGAUCUGGCGGUGCAUCAGCGAGUUCACACUGGAGAGAAGCCUUAUAAGUGCUCUCAGUGUGAGAAGAAGUUUCGGCAGAUAGGCCACCUCAAUGAGCACCAGCGUGUACACUCAGGGGAGAAGCCUUACCAGUGCUCAUUCUGCUACAAGCGCUUCCCUUAUUCCCAGUCCAUGAAGAAACACAUGCGUGUGAUUCAUGGAGUACAUCAGGGUAACACACAAGAGAGAAGCUUCACUUUAAUGGAUGAUGUGGAAGUAGUAAAAGUUGGUUCAGUCCCUACCAGCCCAUCAUCACCACAGUCUGAUGACCAGGGAGCUUCAGAAGAACUAAUUCCACAUAUAAAAACUGAAGACAGCUGCAUGCCAUUAGUGGUGAGAGUAAAAGUUGGUUUGGCGGAAACCUCAGAAGACUCUGAAUAUUCUGAAGUUAUUGAUGAAUGUUCAGAGCACAUUAAAUCAGAAGAGAACAGCUUGUUGGGUGAACCUGAUGAUGAGCUUUCAUGGCACGUACAAACUGAAGAGAAGUACUUUCCUUUGGAGGAGGAUGUAGCAGGAGCUAAAGUUUGUUCAGGUUCCUGUAGUCCAGCACUCGAGCUCACUGAGCACCCUGGAGUUUUGGAAGAAUUUGGAAUUCUUCGGCAGAACACUCAGUGUAACCAGGGCACUUACAAUGAAGAUGGUCGACAUCAGUGCUGUCAGUGUGGGAAGAGUUUCAGCCAAGCGAAGGAUCUGGCGGUGCAUCAGCGAGUUCACACUGGAGAGAAGCCUUAUAAGUGCUCUCAGUGUGAGAAGAAGUUUCGGCAGAUAGGCCACCUCAAUGAGCACCAGCGUGUACACUCAGGGGAGAAGCCUUACCAAUGCUCAUUCUGCUACAAGCGCUUCCCUUAUUCCCAGUCCAUGAAGAAACACAUGCGUGUGAUUCAUGGAGUACAUGAGGGUAACCCAGAAGAAAAAAGCUUCACUUUAAUGGAUGAUGUGGAAGUAGUGAAAGUUGGGUCAGUCCCUACCAGCCCAUCAUCACCACAGUCUGAUGACCAGGGAGCUUCAGAAGAACUAACACAUCAUGUUAAGACUGAGAAAAUGUACUUCUUGGAGGAUGGUUCAGCUUUUGCCAGCCCAGCAUCAGAUCACUCUAAAUAUCCUGAAGAUUUUGAUGAAGUUGCCCAUCAGUUUAAGAGUGAUAAAGUGUUCAACAAUAUUGGAUGAUGUAAGAGUAAAAUUUGGUUCAGCACCAGUCAGGGCUCUUUGAGGAGCCUGCAGUUGGACAAAAUCUUCCAAUAAAUGUCAGAUUGCCUGAAUAAAGGCAGACGACAAAUCUGACAUUGAUAUGCACAUGAAACAUUCCGUUAUGUCUUUUACCUCUGACACAUCCUCUGUAUUCUACACAGAAUACAUUGGCCAUCAGAAGGCUGGAUAAUCUUUAACACUUGCUGAUAUUCCUCCAAGUACAACUGCAUAAAGGAUGCUAUUACCAGUUUCUACAAAGAUGAAUCCACCAUGAUCCAAAUUCUACCAUUAAACCACUGCUGAAAAAUCAAGUAAGCUGAGCAACCACUGUCCUUUGUUUUAAAGGUAUGCGCAAAUAACACAGUGAAGAUAAGAGCACCACCAAAAAUGCUGAUAAGUCCAGUGGCCAGUUCUGAAAAUAAGCCACUGUAGAACAUUUUUUAUGAUAUACAAACAUCCCAUAUUGCAGAUGACCUUUAAGGAAUAGUGCAACAAAAAAUCUAAUUUACAAAGUAGUUGAGCAAAAAAUUGAAUUUACACAAUUUUCCACUUAAUCCAAAUGUCCAGCCCAGACACGUUUGUCUGAUGUUUUCACUAUUAGAUUUGUGCUGGGACUACAAGGGUAAUGUAGCUGGCAGGUAUAGAAAGCUUUUUUUUUUUUCACCCAAAGCCUGUAUGUAUUUGGUGAAUACAUGCUCCAAUAUUAUUAUUUUUUUCGCCUCAAACAACAUUGUUAAGAGAGGUAAUCGCAUUUUUAAUCAAACUAUUUCAUAAAAUGCCGUGGAUAUUUUGCAUCCAAAUUAACCAUUAUUAUGCACAUCGUUUCCCACUUUUUGGUACAAUUUUUCCUUCAGAGGAACUUGGUGAUUUUGGUUAUGUAUGGUGGCUGCUAUAUUGGGUAGUUUGUUUUUUAAAACAAAUUAAUUUCAGGAUUGCAGGGUAAGCCAUAUAAACCCCAUUGUCAUGCCCAGGCGACAUGAGACAUUAUUUAAGACAUGAAUGGGGUAAGUGACAAUUUGAAUUUGCUUUUACGAAAAUGAUAAUAGCUUGUUAUGCUUGUUUGUGAAAUUAGCCGCAUAGCUCAAGUGCAAAAUGAACAAAAGAAACAUCAGACGUAUCUUGACUGAUUGGUUAAGUGAAAAAUUGUGUAAAUUUGACUUUUUGACAAACUAUACCUUUAGGGCCAUCAUAACUAGAACCAGUAGUCAGUCAAACAGCUGCUCUAUCUGGAAGACACCCAUUCCUUAACUACUAUACCCUGUUCUGCACUACUGUGUUCAGCAAAGCCAACUUCCAGCAAGACAUACAGAAUGCCGAGCAUUGCCGAGUGUUCAUGUCCCUUCAGUUGUGCUGUACAUAUUUCUAUAGGACACGCAGAUCUGUGAACUCCUCGUUUAUACAUUUAUACACUUGCAGCCACUAAAAUGGGAAUAAUUGUUUUUGCCUUUG